rnacentral:lncRNA from 1 species
AAACUAUCCCUUUCAGCACAAAUCUGCCUGGAGCUGUUUCCUGAACACAGGACCAAAAGGCAGGAAUCAAAAGUAGUAAUGAGUUUAGUUAUCUGUCUGUUACUGAAGGUGACUUCUAGGGCAUCCUCCUGGCAUUGCUUCUGGAAUACAGUGACUUAGACUUAUUCGGAAGAACAUCUCUAUGCUGUUCAUCACAUCGCCAGCACCUAGCCCUGUGCCUGUGCAUAGUAAAUGCUCAGAAAAGAAAAAACAACAAAGUUUCCAGCUCUUACUCUAGAUUGACACUGGACCUUGGAGAUGCUUGCAGACCACAGCUGUUUGCCCUGUUGAAGCAACUGCUUGAGAGCUCCUCCGGAAGAUACAUCUGGGUGUCACUAAGAUACAUUUUGGGUUUAGUUUUGUUUCUCAACACAAAUGUAGGAGGGAAACAAACCCUGUUCUGCUGGGGUGCCUGGUGGGAGCUGAAAACCUUGUGAUUCUCCAGCAGUCAAAAGUCAUCUCAAUUACCAAAGAGAAGGGAACCUGAGAUCUUUUGUUUCAGUUUUCUAUAGGAAGGAUGUAAGAGGAAGGAAAUUCAAAUCUGUUGAGUAUUGCUCUUGCCAGCAAAAAGAAGUGGAACUGACUAGUGAGAUGGUGGUGAGAUUUUCUUUGGUGGCUGUGUGCAGUGGUAUCAACCCAGGAGAGUAGACUGUUCAAUUGUGAAGAAUUUUGCAAGAUGGUUGUUAAAGUAGAACAUCGUUAAAAUUAAGUUGUAAUAAAAAAAGGGAAAUAAGCAUUGGAAAAGAUGUGGACAGAUUGGAACCCUCAUACAUUGCUGAUGGGAAUGUAAAAUGGUGUAGCCACUGUGGAAAAAAGGUCAGCAGUUCCUUAAAAAGUUAAACAGUGUCACCAUAUGACUCAGCAUUUUCACUCCUAGAUAAAUACGUAGAUUGAAAACGUAUGUCCACACAAAAACUUGUACAGGAAUGAUCGCAACAGCAUUAUUCAUAAUAGCCAAAAAGUGGAAACAACUGUAAUGUUCAUCAGCUGAUGAAUGGAUAAAAUGCGGUAUAUAAAGAACUGUCAAGUGCUUCAACAUGGAUGAAACUUGAAAACAUUAUACAAAGCGAAAGAGGUUAGACACACAGGUCACAUAUUGUAUGAAUAUGGUUAUGUGAAAUGUCUAGAAUUGGCAAAUCCAUAGAGAUGAAAAGUAGGUUAGCGGUUGCCAGCUGAUGGGAUUGGGGGAAUGGAGAGUUGCUAAUGGAUAUGGUGUUUCUUUUGGGGUAAUGAAAAUGUUCUGGAAUUAGAUAGCUGUGGUGGUUGUCAAAGUUGAUGAAUAUAUUAGAAACCAUGAAUUAUAAACUUUAACAUGGUGACUUUUGUGAUACGUGAAUAUCUUAAUUAAAAAUUAAGUUAUAUAAACUUAUAAUUAAAUAAGUUAUAUUAAAAAGAAAGGUAGUAACUACCCCAAACUCAUCACUUGGCUAAUUACAUUUUACUAUUGUGUUCUUGGUGUUAUUUAUGUCUAUUGUGUCUUUAUGUUGGAAAUACUAAAUAAUGGUGUAUUACUGUGUAUCUCUUAACUCUGUAUUCAAGGACAUUAACUUGAUAGCUUAAAACUGGCCAUGGCUGGCAGAGUAUUUAUGCCACAACAGUUGGCAUAUACUGUAAAUCAAGGCACCCACCAACACCACCAGGGAGCCAAUUUUAAAAUAUUUGCCAGCACAUCAUUGGCUAUAUUGUCGGACAAUCAUCUUGGGUAAUUCUGGUAGAAUUAUAUAGUUAGAUGAGGUGAAAUCCUGAGGCCUCUAGGUUCCCAGCAAAACAAAGACUAGCAAGCCUGCACAGUUACUAUGCAAUUUAUCAGGUGCAGAAGGAAAUGACGUUUCUGGUCAUCUGUUGAAUAAAGCCACUUUGAGUUCAGGGGACAUGGUUUUCUCCAGCUUCACUAGUGUUGCAUCUGGUACAAGGGGUUAAGUGCUAAACCCCUGUAGGAUUGUCACAGUGAAGCCAGAUAACAGAGUAACCGCAAAGAGAUUUAAUUCUGUAGUCCCACAAAGGAGGGUGUGUAAAGAGUGUACAACAGUGUCAGAGUUUGGAAACCAAGGGUUGACAAAGUUGGUUCUCUGGAAUCUGGGGGUACCAGUUAAAAGGUUAAAAGGAGUCAUUGUUUUCUGAAACUAUCCAAGAGUUACAGCCAUGUUUUUUUGUUUUUGUUUUUGUUUUUAAGAUUUCGGGGGAAUCUUAUUUUCUCACAUGUUUCUGGAAUUUUUCUUUUUUUUUUAAUUUAAGUUCCAGGGUACAUGUGCAGGAUGUGCAGGUUUGUUACAUAGGUAAAUGUGUGCUAUGGUGGUGUGCUGCACCUAUCAACCCAUGACCAAGGUAUUAAGCUCAGCAAGCAUUAGCUAUUUUUCCUAAUGCUCUCCCUCCCCCAACCCCCUACCCACUCACAGGUCCCAGUGUGUGUUUCCCUCCCUGUGUCCUGUGUUCUCGUUGUUCAGCUCCCACUUAUAAGUGAGAACAUGCGGUGUUUGGUUUUCUGUUCCUGUGUUAGUUUGAUGAGGAUAACGCCUUCCAGCUCCAUCCAUGUCCCUGCAAAGGACAUGAUCUCGUUCCUUUCUAUGUCGAGUUACAACCAUUUUUAAAAGUGGAACUGCACAGGAUUACCUCAGCCUGCUAAGUCCUUCCAGCUAGGCCGUCCCUGUGGGUUUAAACGCAAUGUAAAGAAAGUGGAUGUUAAGUGUUCUUACCACAAAAAUGAUAACUAUAUUAGUUAAUGCAUUUGUUAGUUAGCUAGAUUUAACCAUCCCACAGUGUAUUUUAUGUAUUUGUAUUUAUAUUUCAAAA